rnacentral:lncRNA from 1 species
AAACAAUUAUUGAGCUCACUCUCUUUAAAGCAAAGACGUAAAGUUUGUAGGCUAUUGUUAACUAAUGUUAUACCUGCAGAGGUGAACUUUUAAAAAUCCAACUUUAAACUUUAUUACUGUAUUUUUCUUCAGGGUAAAACAAAAUUAUGGGUCAGUUUUCACUGAAGUAGGCUGGCUGUGUGUAUUCACCUUUCAACAACGUCAAAAGGAAUUGUACACAUCAUUCCCUGGACAACAGGAUGAAUGCCUGUCUCAGGACACUAGGGAGAUCAGCUGUACACAAGAAUGUAUCCCGUUGAUGCAAAACUGUCUAUUGAACAUAGAAAAGACGUUUCCCCUAUUUUAUGUGAAUCAAAAACAAAAGGUACAGCAGGAAAUCAAAAAAAUCAAGACAUCUCAUCCAAAAAGGCGGUGGCACCACUGAGCUAAAUCCCCAGCUCCAACUAACUGAAUUUUUAAAAAAUGUGACUAUUUAACUCUGUUUAAUAGCAACUGAGAAGUAUUAGAAUAUGAGGACAAAACAGUAUUUGUUGAGUUUUGAACAUGGAAGUCAAUAGAGACCUUUACAAGAACAUAUUUAAUAGUGACAGAGACAAGAACCAUGCUGGAGAAGAUUAAGAGCAAGUUCAAGUAAAGAGGUGGAAGUAUUGCCAAUAUUAACUCUUUGAGGAGUAUUAAAGUAUACAAAAUUCAUGUUCACAAUAAUUUCUGGACACUGAAGGAAGGAAAUCAACGUCCUGAGCAGCAGAAAUUCUAAAUUGUCAUCCAAAGACAUUUUAGUGCUAUAACUAUUAUAUUUAUACUUCAAAAAUGUAUUAUA